rnacentral:rRNA from 1 species
AUUGAACGCUGGCGGCAGGCCUAACACAUGCAAGUCGAACGAGUGGCGGACGGGUGAGUAAUGUCUGGGAAACUGCCUGAUGGAGGGGGAUAACUACUGGAAACGGUAGCUAAUACCGCAUACCAUCAGAGGUGCCCAGAUGGGAUUAGCUUGUUGGUGGGGUAACGGCUCACCAAGGCGACGAUCCCUAGCUGGUCUGAGAGGAUGACCAGCCACACUGGAACGGAUCCCCGGUCCAGUCUCCUCCGGGAGUCAGCAGUGGUGAAUAUUGCACAAUGGGCGCAAGCCUGAUGCAGCCAUGCCGCGUGUAUGAAGAAGUCCUUCGUGUUUUAAAGUACUUUCAGCGGGGAGGCGUUACCCGCAUAAGAAGCACCGGCUAACUCCGUGCCAGCAGCCGCGGUAAUUC